AUAAAAUGACCGUUAUGAAUAUAAUUUAUACUAAAUUUACAAGAUACUGUUCUUUAUAAUAAAAUUUCAUAAGGGCAGAAAAGUAAUAACAUAAUUGUAAAAGACCUAAAAAGAAAAAAUGUUGGAAAAAAGCAAAGAAAAGCUUCGGACUUUAGUUUCUCUUCCUCCCUUCUUCUCUGUUCGAAUGAGUGACUUCUAAACCCUAUCUCCAUUACUCUCAAUCUCUCACUCGUCGUCGACGCCGUUGCUCGCCACAUCUGUCAGCCUCCAUCGCCAUCACUUUUCUGGUUACUGGUAUGUCUACCUCUGGUCUAAUGUGCAUUUCCAGUUCUAUUUCCAUUUCCCCCUUCAUUCAUCUUCGUUUCCCUCUCUCUCUCUCUCUCUCUCUGUCUCUCUCUCUCUCUAUAUGGCACUAUGGGUGUGGGGACUGGGGACGGCGAAUGGGAAGUAGUAGUAUGAUUGAUUAUUGGGUCUGGGAGUAAACCCAGAAGCAUAUUAAAUUUGUUUUCCUGUCUGCCUCCAUCGCCAUCUAGAUCUGAUGAAACACUUCUGCUUUAAUUUGUUUUCCUUUUUUUGUCUUUUUUUGGCCUUUUUUAUUGGGCAUGCGUAAGUGUAACAAUGAAUACGAAAGCUAUGUGGAGUUUUUUUUGUCUCUUUUUUGUCUUCCGCAUUUGAAUGGUAUGCUAUGUGGAAUUUUUUGUAAAAAUGCCACGCAAUUGGCUAAAGUAGUACACGGUUCUACUAAAUUGGACUUCAACUGAAUUGGUAACCUUUGUCAAAAGUGGUUCAAUCAGAACGAAAUUACUCACAACCCUUUUUUUCAAAAAAAAAAAAAAGAAUUUGAAAACACACUCCAUCAUCUUCACAUGGCUCUAGAUUCUAAUUAUUGCUCUCUUUGUGCUAAAGAAUAAAUUCUAACUUCUAAGAGCAGAUUUCUAAAACCCCAAAAUAAAAAUUGUAAAUCAUAGAUAUAAGGCGUAACCUGUCAAUCUUGGACUUUAAAAAGAAAGAAGGAAGAACAAUUUGAGUAUUCCGUGGUAGUCUGGAUUUAAUGACUUGAUAUGGAGAGUUAAACAAGCACCACUAGAAUUGUUGUGUGUAAUUUGUUAGAAAUACCAUUAAAACAAAACACACUCUGUAUAAUUCCACUAAAGCCCACAAACUUCAUCCCACUUUGUAUAAUUCCUCUAAAGUCCCUAGAUCACUCACAUUAAGAGACUAAAGCUCAAAAUGCUUGAUUAGGCUUGACUUGAUAAGACUUGACUAAAGGUCGAGCCUUAUCGAGUCAAGUCUCGAGCUUAAAAGAAUUUUUUCGAGUCAAGUCUCGAGUUGCGAUUUUUAGGCUUGGUCGAGCUCGAGUAUAGCACUACUCGAACUCGACUUGGCUUGAAUACAUCCCUAGAUGUAGGUGUAGAACCUUCCAGAAUACCUCCUAAAUAGUUAGUCCAAGUGGUGGCAGACAAUUUGCCUACAUUUGAGGCCAUUGUAAGACAUCUUAAACGAAAAGAAAAAUGCAAGAUGAGCAGGCCUCCAAGACUCCUCUGCAAAGAAAAGAACCCAGUGGAGAUUCAUCGGAUUCUGGUUGAAGUGAUAGGCAUAAUUAGAGCUGACAAAAAAGUCCAAAACCCAACAAUCCGCCCAACCCACCCAUUAAUUUUAAAGGAUGGGUUGGGUCAAUUGGGUUAUGGGUUUCGUUGGGUUGGGUAAGAAUAACCCAACUUAUUCAUUGGGCGGGUUGAAUUUUUUAUUUGGGUACCCAAUGUCCAACUUGUUUAAAAGUAAUUUAAAAUAAUAAAUACAAAAUUCAAUACACAAACACUCAACUAUUUGUAUUUGGACAUGUGUUAAUGAUACAUUGAUUAAUUUGUAUUCAAAAUUCUCAUAUAUAUAUAUAUAUAUAUAUAUAUAUUCAAUCAAUUUUUUUAUUUUUAUUUAAAAGAAAAAAGAAACUUGAAAUAAAAACUCGUGCUUAUUUUACUUUUUUAACAGUAGUUAAACUUGCUCAACUUCUAAAAUAAUUUAUUAUGCCUUUUAAAAGUAUGUCGUUUUCCUCCCCCCUUUUUUUUGUGAUUGUUCUCAAGAUGUUACUUGCUUUUGUUUGUUAAUAUUCUAUGUACAUAAAAUAGAGUUUUAAAUUUGUUCUAAUUGCAUUCUUUUUUAAUAUUUCGUAUUGCUUUUGUUUUUUAAUAUUUCAUGUAUGUGUAAUAUUGUAUAAAUUUCAUUUUUAACCUUUUAGCAUUAUAUAAUUUCAAAAUUUUCAAAUUUACAAACAAAAGCUUACUUUGUAUCAACCUAAUUUUUCACUAAUUCAAAAUAAUGCGAUCCCAAUGUGGUAAAAAUGCCAGAAUAGUUCAUGAAUUCUUCUCUCAUUUAUUUCUUAAAAGGUUUGGGAUUUUCCUUAAUAUUUUUUUGGGGACCAAUAGCAAUACUUUUUACAAGCAUAUAAUAUUUUCUGCUUUAUAUCAAAGCUAUGGUAAUUCUAAAAGAUUAAUAUGGCCAUAGCAUCAAGUAUGAUUCUAGAUGAUUCUAAUUAAUCAGGUGAUGAAUUAUCUAACUCCAUCAAAUCAAUAAAAAAAUACAUUCUAAUAUAUAUUAUAUGUAAAUAGAUCAUGAUAUUAAUUUCGAAUCAAUAUAGUUGACUUGCAUAUUCUAGUCCAACGAUUUCAUUUCAUUUGAAGCAAACACCUCCAAUCUUCAACUUCAUGAGAAGCUUACAAUCAGCAAGACAAUUAAUUUUCCCUCUUAAUUAGCCAGUCCAAGAACCAAAAUGCCGUAAUGUCUCCAAUCAUUUAAUGGAAGAAAGCAAUUUCCAUACUAUCCCCAGAAUGGAGUUUUGAUGCGUGGACCUUUCACAACAGUUUGCAAAAUUUCUAAAGUCAUGAAUCAUAAAAUUUUUGAGAAUAUAAGGACUAAAGUAUAAACUUAUUUUCUAUAAUUUCAAUAUUAUUAUACAACAAAUUAUAUGUCUCUUACUUACAUUUUCAAGUAUAAUAUAAUCUAGCAUUUAAUAAUUUAAAUACAUAGAAUAUUACAAUUUACAAUAAAGUAGAUAUAAAUAAUAAAAGUAUUAAUUGGCUGUGACAAAAAUAAGUUUCAAUCAACUAAUAGUAUUAAAAAGUAUAGAGUAAACAAUUUUUUUAGCUAAUGUAUUUAAAUGUACAAUUUAUUAUCUAAAAUUCGCAAUACAAGCAAUAUAAAAUAUUAUUCUAUUUGUGAUUUGUUUUCAAGUAACUUAAGAAGUGAGUGUGUGUCUGUGUGCAUGAAAAUACAUUUAUGUAUGUGAAAAUGUAUUUAUAUGUGUGAAAAAAAUCUUUUUGGUGUGUUAAAAUGCAUAUGAAAAAGUUUAUGUAUUAAAAUGUAUUAAUUAAUAUGUUGGGUCAUAUUUGGGUCAUGGGUUUGAGAUAACCUAAUAUGACUCAACCCAAAAUCAACCCAAUCUAAAGUUGGGCGGGUUGGGUAUAACCCAUUUAAGUGAAAAUUCAAUUUUAACCCGCCCAAUUGCCAGGUAUAGGCAUAAUCUAAGGAAAAGAGUUCAGUAUUCUCUCCCAAACUCCCAUUGAUGUCCCUGAGACAUCAUAAUAGAUGUCAAGAAUCAAUUUGAUACCUCACAUAUGAAUUACCAAGUUCAAGAUGAACUGGACAGGAUAUUAAACUCGAAAACAAAUAGAAACUCAGCCUCUCCAUUUAUUCUAGACAUAGAACACUAUCCACUUCUAGCCAAAUUUAAGAUACCCAUGAUGAAGCCUUCUAAUGCAACAACUGAUCUUGAGGACUAUUUGUUUGUUUUCUUGACUCAUAUGUAGCUACAAACCGCUACUAGUACUAGUAGUGUAAAACCCUUUCAAUAUUUCUAGAAUGGAAGGCCCAAUUAUGGUUCCAAAGAUUACCUACAAGAUCUAUACGCUCUUUCAAUUGGCUGGGCUGUUCACUGACCAUUUGUUUCAUGCAAAGCAUUUUCCAAAGAGCACAGUGCAUCUAAUAGCAGUCAAGCAAUGACAAAAAAGUCCUUAAGGGAUUAUAUGGUUUGAUUCAAUAAUGAAAGUCUUCAGGACAAAGAUCGAGAUAAUAAGGUAAUAAUCACAACCUUUAUUAAUGGUUUGAAAUUGCUGAAGUUGUACACUGAGUUCAUAGACAAACCUCCAAGAACUAUUAGGAAGAUGUUGGACCAACCUCGUGAACGUGCCAAUGCAGAAGAAGCUUAUCAUCAAAAGAGUGAACAGAAAAAGUAGAGAGAGGACAAGUGGAGAAGAAGUGGUAAUAAUAGAGAGACACGAGAAGGGCAGCAAAGGAAAUGCAUUUUUGAUAGGUAGUCCUGGGGACAAACCUCAAAAAGUGAGAAGAAUCUUACUCCUGUUACUACGUCACAAAUUCAAAUCUUGGCUAUUAUGGAGGCUAAAAUGUUGCUACCUCCUUCAAGAAGGUUAUUAGGUAACAAAAAUAAAAGAAAUUAAAGUGCAUUCUGUGCUUUCCACAAAGAUGUGGGCCACGAUAUAGAGGAUUACAUGGAUCUUAAGAGAGAAAUUGAGGAGUUAAUUAAACAAAGGCAUUUAUGUAAUGUGUAAUGACCCGAUCUUUUUCUAGGACAUACCCCAGGGUUUAGCGGACCGCCUACCUAACUCUCGUUAAGACUCACUCACAUCUACUUAAAACACGGAUUAUAACUUCAAGAGAAAGAGGAGCAAUGGUUUCCAUCUUGAUAAAAUGUCGUAUAGACUUGAAAAUAAUGAAUGAGGAGAAUAAUUAUUUCAUUGAUCCAAAAGAAUAUAUACAACAGGUUUCAGCCUAUAUUAGGAAACUAUACACAAUUAUACCCUUAAUCCUAGGAAUAAGAUUUUACACCAAUUUAGCUAAUCUACAGCUAAUCUACAGUUAUAGUUAUAUGGAAUUUCUCUCCACUAAUCUCUCCUAAUUUACACGGUUUUAUUACUCAAUAUUCUACUUCCCAAAAAUACAGAUUUUCCCACACUCCCCCUCAAGCUGGUUUGAAGAUAUCUUUCAUCACCAGCUUGCUCACUAACAAAUCAAACUGUUUUUUGGGAAGACUCUUUGUAAGCAGAUCUGCCACUUGGUCGCUAGUUGGCACAUAGGUCAUGCAGACUACACCUCCUUCUAUUUUUUCUUUGAUGAAGUGCUUAUCUACUUCAACAUGUUUCGUUCGGUCAUGAAGAACUGGAUUGUGAGCAAUAGAAAUAGCCGCUUUAUUGUCACAAUACAAUUUCAUAGGAAGUACUUCUGAAACCUUCAACUCCUGUAAUAUUCUUCUAAUCCAUAUCACUUCACAAAUACCUGGAGCAACAGCCCAGAACUCUGCUUCUGCACUGCUCCUUGCCACAACAUUCUGCUUCUUACUUCUCCAAGUUACCAAAUUACCUCCCACAUACGUACAAUAUCCAGAAGUUGAUCUUCUAUCUGUUAUACAUCCAGCCCAAUCCGCAUCGGUAUAGGCUUCAACUUGAAGAUGUCCUUGUGCCUUAAAGAAAAUGCCUUUGCCAGGUGUUCCCUUUAGGUACCUUAGGAUUCUAUGAAUUGUUUCAAAGUGCUCUAGGCCUGGUGAAUGCAUGAACUGACUAACAAUACUUACUGGAAAUGCUAUGUCCGGCCGAGUGUGUGAUAAAUAAAUAAGUCUUUCUACUAGUCUUUGAAACUUUUCUUUGUCUCUUACUUUCUCUACACUAGCUGGUUGAAGUUUCAAAUUUGGCUCCAUGGGAGUUUCAGCUGGCCUGCAUCCCAUCAUACCUGUCUCUUUGAGCAAAUCAAGCACAUAUUUCUUUUGACUUACAACAAUUCCCUCCUUGGAUAGUGCAAACUCCAUCCCGAGAAAAUACUUUAAGUUUCCCAAGUCCUUGAUUUCGAAUUCCUUGGCCAGAAUCUUCUUCGAAUUCUCUAAUCCUCCACAAUCAUCCCCUGUUAAAAUAAUGUCAUCGAUGUAUACAAUUAAGAUUGCAACUUUACCUUCUUUUGAAUGCCUAUAAAACAAAGUAUGGUCAGCCUGAUUUGUAAGAAAACAAAAUUUUUAACAGCUUUGCUGAAGCGUUCAAACCAAGCUCUUGGUGAUUGUUUAAGUCCAUAAAGAGAUUUCUUCAGUUUGCAAACUUUUCCAACACCAUAUUUGUCUACAAAACCUGGAGGAAGACUCAUAAACACCUCCUCUUCUAGGUCUCCAUUAAGAAAGGCAUUUUUCACAUCAAGUUGGUACAAUGGCCAAUUUGCAUUAAUAGCAAGAGAUAAAAGGACCCGAAUAGAAUUUAUCUUGGCAAUAGAGGCAAAUGUUUCUUGAUAAUCUAUUCCAUGGGUUUGUGUAAAACCCUUCGCAACUAAUCUGGCCUUGUACCUUUCUACAGUACCAUCUACUUUGCUUUUAACUGUAAACACCUAUUUGCACCCAACAAUCUUUUUCUCCCUAAGCAACUCCACCACAUCCCACGUAUCAUUUUUCCUUAAUGCUUCCAUCUCUUCAAACACUGCAGAUUUCCAGUUCUGAUCAUCCAACGUUUUUUUAAUGUUUCUAGGAAUCACAAGUUUUGAAAUUUUAGUGGUAAAGGCUCUAUAUUUAGGGGAAAGGUUAUCAUAGGACACAUAUUUGGAAAUUGGAUGUCUAGUACAAGUACGAGUUGGGAAGAUCAAGAUCAGAUUCUUGAGUAGGAAGGUUUAAAACUGGGUUAGAUUCUGGAACAGCAGAAGAAAAGAAAGGUGAAGUAUUACCUGAUGUAUUUGGACAGACUUCCCUCGAGGACUUCUCAUGAAUAGGAGCUGGACUCAUCAAUGGACCUUCACCCUUUUUAAAAAUAUUUCUCCUAGUGUAUACCACAGGCUCAAGAUUGGAACGAUUUUUUUCUCGUUGUAAUAUUUCCAUAUCUGAUAAACUAAUAUCAAUUUCUGCACUAUCAAAUUGAGGGAUCUUCGUUUCCUUAUCUGUUUCAAAAAUUAUAGUUGGUAAAGCUUCAGUUUCCAAAAAAUUUGAUUCACUAGAAUUCUCCCCCUGAAUCAAAGGUUUGUUAAAGAAAGGGAGACCUUCCAAAAAAGUUGCAUCCAUAGUGACAAAGACUUUUCGUGUGAGAGGAUUAAAGAAUUUGUACCCUUUUUAAUUUGGAGCAUAACCAACAAAGACACAUUUUUCGGUCCUCGGAUCCAAUUUGGACCAAGAUUUCUUUGGAAUAUGCACAUAAGCAGUGCAUCCAAAUAUUUUUAAAGGCAAAUUUGAAUUAACUCUUGAUUCAGGGAAAAUUUUUUUAAAACACUCUAAAGGAGUACUAUAUUGUAAGACCUUGGAAGGCAUCCUAUUAAUUAGGUAUGAUGCUGUUAAAACAGCAUCCCCCCAAAAAUAUUUUGGUAAGUUCAUAUAAAACAUCAUGGCACGAGCGACUUCCAAUAGAUGUUUGUUUUUACGCUCGGCAAUUCCAUUUUGUUCGGGGGUAUCAGUGCAAGAAGACUGAUGUAAGAUCCUUUUUUCUUCAAAAAAUGUUCCAAGGAUGCUAUUAUAAUACUUUGUUCUAUUAUCAGACCGCAAAAUACUUGCUUUUGUUUGAAAUUGAUUUUCUAUCAUGUUAUGGAAAUUUUGAAAAAUGGUUGCUACUUCUGACUUCUUAUGCAUUAAGUAUACCCAACAUAGACGAGUAUGGUCGUCUAUGAAUGUUACAAACCACCUUUUUCCCGAAACAGUAGUAUCCCUUGAGGGUCCCCAAACAUCACUAUGAAACAAAUAAAAUGGUUUGGAUGGUAAAUAAGGCCUUGGGACAUAAGAUUUUCAUUGACUUUUAGCAAGCAAACAACUUUCACAUUUCAGUUUCAGGGGGUUCACAUUCUUAAAAAGCAAAGGAAGCAAAUGUUUUAGAUAAAUAAAACUAGGAUGGCCCCAUCUGUAAUGCCAAACCAUUAUUUGUUCAUAAGCAGAUACAUAAAUAUUACUACUAGACUCUUGAGCAAUUUGAGCACUAGGUGAAUUAUUCUCAAGACAGUAAAGGCCAUUGAUCAUUCUAGCUCUGCCAAUCGUCAUCCUCAAAUUCUUGUCCUGAAAAGCACAAUGAGAUUCAUCGAAAAUAGCCUAACAAUUAGAAUCUUUUGUUAGUUUACUAACUGAUAAAAGAUUGCUGGCCAAUUUUGGAACAUGAAGAACAUAUUUUAGGUUAAUAUUUUUUGAGAUCUGUAUUGAACCUUUUCUAGCAACAGGAGAGAAACCUCCAUCUGCAACCUUGAUCUUUUUAUUUCCAGAACAUGGUAUAUAUGAUUGGAAGAGUUUAAAUGAAUUUGUCAUAUGGUCUGAGGCUCUAGAGUCUAUGAUCCAUGGAGCAGGAAAGGUUGAGGAAUUAGACAGAAAAGAAUUGAAUAGAGCCUUAGAUCCAAUAUCUGUAUGAGCCAUAGAAGCAUUAGGAAAGUCAGAUGAGGUAAAACUGGAUUUCAAUAGCAUAAGAAGAUGCUCCAUUUGUUCUUUGGUGAAAGGACCAGCAUCAGCUUCAUUAGCAGUAGGAACUUCUCGUCCAGACUUCUCUCCUCCUUUGUUUUUCCAAUUUGGAGGUUUUCCGUGCAGUUUUCAACAUGUGUCACGAGUGUGACGACGCUUAUUACAAUAGUCACACCAGACCUGUGAUUUUUCACUGGAUUUUUCUCUUGUUCUAUGCUGAUAAGUUGAUGUUUUAAAGGAUGAGGCAACCUCUAAAGCCGAUCCUUCAACAGCAAUUCCAGGACCCUUCUUUCCCAGCAUUACAUUUCUUCUGCUUUCCUCCCUUCUAACCUCUGAGAACACCUCACCAAUUGAAGGAAGAGGCUGUCUCCCAAUAAUUCUCCCUCUAACUUAAUCAAAUUCAACGUUUAGCCCUGCCAGAAAUUUAAAGAUUCGGCUGUCUUCUACAGUUUUCUUAUGAUGCUGAAAAUCCCCUAUUGAUUUCCAAUCAUAGCUGUUGAAGAGAUCCAAAUCUUGCCAUAUUCGCUUAAACGAAUUGAAAUAUUUUGUGAUAGUGUCUUUCCCUUGACGUAGAUCUCCAAUUUUGAGAGUCAACUCGAAAAUUCGGGUUUGAUUUCCCAAAUCAGAGUACAUCUGAUUGAUAUUUUCCCAUAACUCUUGUGCCGUUGAAUAGCACAUGUAGUUAGAACUGAUAUCUUCCUCCAUUGAGUUUACAAGCCAUGUCAUAACCAUGAAGUUUUCCGCGUCCCAUGUUGCGUAAGCAGGAUCCGUGCAUAUUGGAGCCUUUGUUUCACCAGUUAAAUACCCCAUCUUGCCACGACCUCUGAUAUACAUCCGGACUGCUUGUGACCAUCGGAGAAAAUUAUCUCCAUUCAGCUGAAUGGUAGUAAUCUGAAUUGAGUGAGAAUCAACCCCAGUUUUCAAGGAUUCGAUUCUGUUUUUAGAUGAAAAGGCAGUAGUUUGAGGAUUAAUGGUAGAGUCUGAUGAUGUUUCAGACAUGAUGAAGGGACAGGGGACAAUGUGAAAAAACAACAAGGAGGAAAAAUCAGGCAAACCUAGCUCUGAGACCAACUUGAAAAUAAUGAAUGAGGGGAAUAAUUAUUUCAUUGAUCCAAAAGAAUAUAUACAACAGGUUUCAGCCUAUAUUAGGAAACUAUACACAAUUAUAUCCUUAAUCCUAGGAAUAAGAUUUUACACCAAUUUAGCUCCUCUACAGCUAAUUUACAGUUAUAGUUAUAUAGAAUUUCUCUCCACUAAUCUCUCCUAAUUCACACGGUUUUAUUACUCAAUAUUCUACUUCCCAAAAAUACAGAUUUUUCCACAUAUAGCAAAAUUCAAUUAAAUAGGGUUUCAAAAUAUACAACUCUUGCUUGUUAAUAUCAAAGAAAGUUCAUGUAAAUAGAACUCCUAUAAAUAGACCUCAUGAGACUUAGUAAACCCUAUACAAGGUACAUGCAUGCGCCAUUUGGUUUUCUAAAGUAAAUGAUUAAAAAUUUUAAGUUUAAACUAGACUUAUGCAAUUAGAAAUCAUGUUUAAAGUGGCCAUUACUUUCUCCUUACGAAAUAUAUAGUUUUUAGCAAAAUUUCAGCUUACGUAUCACUACCAAGGGGAACUCAAGCAUCCUUAAGCAACUAAAUCCGAAUUAACCAAAUAACACCCUUCUACUCUCACUUUCACUUGCUUAUACUACAAGAAAAGAAACGGCCAGCAUCUCCCCCUUUUUUUUCCUUAAAUUUUCCUCCAAUUUCAAGGCUAAAAUUUCAUAGCUAAACAGCCCCAAUCAAGUCUAUAAGUUAUAAGAUAAAAAAGGUUCUUAUUUUAGGCCACAAAUCUAACUAAAUUAUGUAUAUGCCUAGCAUAUAUUCAUCGUAUAUCUAAGCUAAAAAUUUAAAUCCUAAGCUAGAAUCUACCAACAAAACUAGAAAAUGAAGUUUUAAAUCCCUUAAGUGAAGCCAAAAAUGAAGUUAAAAGCUGGAAAAUCCUCGUGGCAAGACUCAAGUUUCAUAGCAAAGCUGGAAAUAAUAUUUCAAAGCUGAAAAUUCUCAACCAAAGAUGGAAAUGACAAACUACUACACAAAACUACGAAAUCUUUCAUAAAACCUACUACAAUCAAGCCAUAACUCCAUUCAAAUGCAAGAUUAAGGGAAAAAGUAGUUCCUUGCCAAGGUACCUUCAAUUCCUAAAGAGAAUAGCAAACUACAGCUUUCUUUCCCCAAAAUCACUCCACACAAACCUCCUUCCUUGUUACAACCUUCUAUGGAUUGGUCUAGGAUUUUAGGUUGAUUUCCCACAAAUUCUAGCUAAGAAUCAAGGUGAAAUUGAAGAGGUUUUUUUCCCCUCUUUUCUCUCUUCUCUCUCUCGACCAAGGAGGAGAGAAAAUGAAGGAAGUUUUGGUUCACUAGAUGAUAAAGAUAGAAGAAAUGUCUUGGUCAAAGAUGACCUUGAUUGCAACACUUGGCACCCAACCAUGAUGCGAAUGAGCAAGAGGCCAAUGGUGUUCAAGUAGACCCCAUGAAGGUCCUUCAAGACCCUGUGACACGAGCACGAGUUAAAAAUUUUAAGGAGUCACUUCAAGCCUUAGUUUAUGUCGUCCAAUCCCAAGAGAAAUCGCCCAUUGAAAGAAUCAACCUGGAAGAUCCUUGCAAGACUACCAAGAUAUUGCUUACAAUUGAAGGUGCAAGUGAUCAAGCCUCAAAGGGAGGAUUGGGCCUCGAUUAAGUAGCUCUUGUUAAGUUUGGUUUCUGCCAUGUGGGCCUUAGGUCAAAUAGGACUUUAGUUAGUCAUUAAGUUAAUUAAUUAGUAGGUUAGUUUUCAGCCAAGAGAGAUCCAAUGGGAUGGCUAAAUUUUCUUAAUAUUUUCCAAGUUCUAUUAGGGUUAGACAAGGCUAUAAAUAGCCUCAAGUCAUUGUCUACAUUCAGUUUUGGCGAUAUUAUUAAUAAAAAUUUCAGAAUUUCGUUCAAUUCUUUGUGGCGAAUUCCUUAGCUUGUGAAAGCUAGUUUGAACAUUCUAGAGUUGAUCCUAGGAUUAUUCGUUGACUUAUCAAUCAAGUAAACACACUUGAUUGUGGAGUCCUCUACCAUUGAAUUCACUCUUGAGUGGUCCAAGUUUGGAUUCAACUCCAUCAAAUCGUCAACGUGCCCUCUAAGAUCCUAAGUAGCUUCCGCUUCUCGUAUCAUCUGGUCAUCAGAGCUAAUUAGAGGUAUCACGUAUAUUUCUUUUUAUCGUUUUGAGUCCGUUUUGUUCCCAUAUUCGUAGCUAUGUGUUAUGUUUUGUUGUCCAAGUCCAAAAUCUAUUCUUGUUUAUCUGCGUGUCAUGCUUGUUUUCGUAGUUGCUAUCAGUGUCUUUAAUCUUUCUUGCACAAAAAUUCUGUCCAAAAUUCUGUUUGGUCUCGGUUAUUUGUGUUUAUCCAGCAAGCAAAACAAAAAAAAAAAAAAUUUGGCGGCGGUUCUUUAUCUUCUUGCCGCAACUAGGGCUUCUUGUGUAUUCAUUUUUGUAUGCAAUCUGUCCAGAAAUUUUUAAUCGUUAGUUACCUAUAGUUUCCAUCCAGAUUGUAGUAUAAUUCUUGAUACGAGAAGCAGAAACUACUUAGGAUCUUAGAGGGCCUGUUGACGAUUUGAUGGAGUUGAAUCCAAACUUGGACCACUCAAGAGUGAAUUCAACGGUAGAGGACGCCAUAAUCAAGUGUGUUUGCUUGAUUGAUAAGUCAACGAACAAUUCUAGGAUCAACUCUAGAAUGUUCAAACCAGCUUUCACAAGCUAAGGAAUUCGCCACAAAGAAUUGAACGAAAUUCUGGAAUUUUUAUUAAUAAUAUCGCCAAAACUGAAUGUAAACAAUGACUUGGGGCUAUUUAUAUCCUUGUCUAACCCUAAUAGAACUUGGAAAAUAUUAAGAAAAUUCAGCCAGACUAUUGGGUCUCUCUUGGCCGAAAGCUAACCUACUAAUUAAUUAACUUAAUGACUAACUAAAGUCCUAUUGGACCUAAGGCCCACAUGGCCGAAGCCAAGCUCAACAAGAACUACUUAAUCGAGACCCAAUCCUCCCCUUGAGGUUUGAUCACUUGCACCUUCAAUUGUAAGCAAUAUCUUGGUAGUCUUGCAAGGAUCUUCCAUGUUGAUUCCUUCAAUGGGCGGUUUCUCUUAGGAUUGAACGGCAUGAACUAAGGCUUGAAGCGGUUCUCGUGUCACUGGGUCUUGAGGGACCUUCAUGGGGUCUACUUGAACACCAUGGGUCUCUUGCUCAUUCGCAUCAUUCCCCUCCUCUUGAAAAGGAUUUGUCCUCAAAUCUUGGGAAAAAGUGGAACUCUAUGUUGGUGCGCUUAUAGGAUAGCAAUGUGGGGACUAGAUGAAUGAGCACCAGCCAUGUCACAUGUCGCUUGGACAGCCUUAUGAUGCUUUCGAACAAUGACAUUCUCCAAGACAAGAAACAUAUUGUAUAAAGCUUGUGAUAAUUCCAGGUUCCACUCCAAAGCUCUCUAAUCUCAUGAAUGGUCGAAUUUGGACCUACACAAUAAAUCACACAAUUAGCAUUUGUAGGUAUCAAAUCACUUGACCACUUACCAUUCAUAUUCACAAGAUAAGGAUCUUCAUAGUGAUGCUCAAUCAGGUUAGAAAAGUCUCGAAUAUGAUUGUGCAAAAUUACGAAAUACAUUGCAAGUUGUUGUUGGUAUGGCCUAUCUUGCACAAAUGGAGCAAGAUCGAGAUAGGUAGCUUUUGUACCUUCAAAUUGAAGAAUAAAUUUUGGUUGUAAGGAACCAGAAUUUGGAACAAUGAGGAAAGAAUUAUCACCAACGGAAUAAGAAGGAAGUUUAUAACAAGUUUCAAGUGUAGAAACUCCCUUUGAAACUUCAUUCAGAUCACCAACAAACAAAUCAACUCUUGGUGAGAGAUUGGUCACUUGUUGAUAACAAAAAGAUACCACACUUAAAGCACAAACUCCAUGAAAACUCUUCAAUUCUCUAAAGAAUGUAGGAAUGGAGCAUUUUAAGACCAAGGCGAUUGCACUUUGCUUCAUCUGCACAAAACAAGAAACACUAGAUAAUGCAAAGUUAAGAUGGUUAGCACAAAAACAAGUCCUCUUCACAUCCUUAGAUUGUACAAUAGAUGUCGACUUUCUCUCUUGUUUUUCCACUAUGGCAGAAUCGUGCAUGAAAUUUUCCACACUCAACUCUUUUAAAUGUUCAUUCUCUUUCUCUUUGACACUUUUCUCAACUUUUGCCUUAAGUGCAUGCUCACCACCACACUCAACUCGCUCUUUUUCAAGUUUUCGUUGGAGGAGUUGUUGAUAUGUCUCCCACACUCUACUAACUCUUCUAUCUAUGGAUAAUGUAUUGGCAUGCUUUGUUGUCGAAUGAACCUCCUCCCUUUUCCUUGAAUAUACUGACUUUGAAAAGGUAGGUUGGACGUUGGGGUGAAAUUGUGGAGAACCCUUCCUCUUGACAUCCUUAUUCACCAUUCGGUCAAGACGUCUAUGAAGAGACUCGAAAGCUUCAUCCAGACUCUGCUUGAAUUCUUCCAUCAUGGCCUCCAUGUGUAGUUUUAGGCCCAUGGUUUGGUCUCCAAUUCCACUUGACAUGCUUAGGUAUACCUGCCAAAACAAACAAAACAACUGCUUCUCUCCUUUUUUUUUGUAUACAAAAUAUAGGUUACUCACACUCGUGUUUCACUCAAGUAUAUCACUCUCUAAUAAUCUCACCAGCAAUUCCUUAGGCUCGCUAGUUGCUCGGAUUGAACAAACUAGGAAUCACCAUCAGGUUCGUUCUUGACUAGUCAACAAGUGACACAAGAUAGUAGUAAUGAAUGGACAAUAUUGGAUGACCUAAGAAGGGACCUAAAACUUAGAUUAGGACUGACUACGACUCAAAAGAAAGCAAGAAAGAUGACUUCAAGAUUGAAAUUUUGAAAAUCCUAGAAGUACCCUACCCGACAACCAAAAUUUCUAGAAUUUGUCGAGCUGCUGAUCCUCGAUAUAUUGGUCAGAUUUUUGGGGUAUUUUGGGUGCUAUUUUGGUGUAUGGGUCAGCCCUUAAAUCGCAGUCCAACCGAUUCAACAUUGCGGGCUGGUUUGGCGUGACACGGUGUAACGGCUGGCUUUUGGAUUUUGGAAACAGAAUUGGGUGUAAGGUGGGCUGUUUUAGGUCGGUUGGAGGGGAACUUGGGCCUUUGGCCGAUGGGUUCUUGGCUGCUAUUAAUCCCAACAGAAUUAGGAUUAGUUGGAGUCAAGGUGGGACUUGGUGCACAAUUAGGAAACUAGAGCCAAUAUCUUUCUUCCCUUUUUUUUUUCUCUCUUUCGUUUCUUUUUUUUUUCUCUUCUUUUGCGGCUCUCUGGUUUGUUCUUCAAGAACUCAGAUUUGGUCCCAACAGAUUUGAAAUUUCGGAUCAAAAUUCAAGAUUGCCAAGAGGAUAGAAGUUUUCUCCCGCAAGUUUCAAGAAUCCUCGAUCAAGAAUUACUAAAACAGUCUUGGUUGUUCCAAGAACUUCAAGAUUUCUGGUGAAGAAGCUCAAGAACUACCCAAGUCAGGUUUAGGUAUCCAAGAUUUGUAAGAUUCAACACUAAUACGCAAGGUUUAAAAGGCAAGCAGGUUCGCAGCCCAAACAAACAAAUUCCAGCAACGACUCAAAGAAACAUUCAAGGUACGCAACACUUUUGUUGUUUUUUUUUUUUGACUUUUUGUUGGGUUGUUUUGCAAUCCAAACGACACAAGACUCCACAAGAAUUGAUGCGAAUGAGCAAGAGGCCCAUGGUGUUCAAGUAGACCCUGAGAAGGUCCCUCAAGACCCAGUGACACGAGCACGAGUUAAGAGAUUCAAGAAGUCGCUUCAAGCCUUAGUUCAUGCCGUCCAAUCCCAAGAGAAACCGUCCAUUGAAGGAAUCAACAUGGAAGAUCCUUACAACACCACCAUAAUAUUGCUUACAAUUGAAGGUGCAAGUGAUCAAACCUCAAAGGGAGGAUUGGGUCUCGAUUAAGUAGCUCUUGUUGAGCUUGGCUUCGGCCAUGUGGGCAUUAGGUCCAAUAGGACUUUAGUUAGUCAUUAAGUUAAUUAAAUAGUAGGUUAGCUUUCGGCCAAGAGAGAUCCAAUGGGUUGGCUAAAUUUUCUUAAUAUUUUUCAAGUUCUAUUAGGGUUAGACUAGAAUAUAAAUAGCCCCAAGUCAUUACUUACAUUCAGUUUUGGCUAUAUUAUUAAUAAAAAUUCUAGAAUUUCGUUCAA
rnacentral:lncRNA from 1 species